rnacentral:rRNA from 1 species
GUGGUAAUGCCGGAUGUUCCAGUUGAUCGCAUGGUCUUCUGGGAAAGCUUUCGCGGUAUGGGAUGGGGUCGCGUCCUAUCAGCUUGACGGCGGGGUAACGGCCCACCGUGGCUUCGACGGGUAGCCGGCCUGAGAGGGCGACCGGCCACAUUGGGACUGAGAUACGGCCCAGACUCCUACGGGAGGCAGCAGUGGGGAAUAUUGCACAAUGGGCGCAAGCCUGAUGCAGCGACGCCGCGUGAGGGAUGGAGGCCUUCGGGUUGUAAACCUCUUUUAUCGGGGAGCAAGCGUGAGUGAGUUUACCCGUUGAAUAAGCACCGGCUAACUACGUGCCAGCAGCCGCGGUAAUACGUAGGGUGCAAGCGUUAUCCGGAAUUAUUGGGCGUAAAGGGCUCGUAGGCGGUUCGUCGCGUCCGGUGUGAAAGUCCAUCGCUUAACGGUGGAUCCGCGCCGGGUACGGGCGGGCUUGAGUGCGGUAGGGGAGACUGGAAUUCCCGGUGUAACGGUGGAAUGUGUAGAUAUCGGGAAAGAACACCA